AUGGAAGAGAAUAAAGAAGAAGACGACGACGACAGCUAUCCUGGCCAUGGGUUCCCUGAAUACGAUGGUACAACUAUGGGGGAAGAAGCUAAGCCGGUAAUGCGGGAAGAAGCUGAAGAAGAGGCAUCAGAUGAGCCUGCUGAUGAUCUUGGUCGGGCCAUUGCCGAUGCAAAGAGAAACUGCGCAACUGAAAAGGAGAGGUUAAAGUUACAAUGCAUGUUAGAGGAUCACAAGAAAUUCUUGUACCCAAAUUGCGAAGAUGAGAAGAAAAAGCUGUGCACACCACACUGGAAUUGCUGUAAUGGAAGGCGGAGAAUGGAAUAUCUGACAAGGGAUUUAAAAAGUUGCUGA
rnacentral:rRNA from 1 species